UAUCGAGCGCAAUAUUUGCGAACCAAUGGGCGAAAGCCUGAUGCAGCAACGCCGCGUGCGCGAAGAAGGCCUUCGGGCUGUAAAGCGCUUUUCUGGGAGAUGAAAAAGGACAGUAUCCCACGAAUAAGUCUCGGCUAACUACGUGCCAGCAGCCCCGGUUA
rnacentral:rRNA from 1 species